GGCAGUGGGAGGGGGAGGUACCUGGAACUGGGAGUGAUGUCAGCUCCCAGCUCGGUGCCUGCCCGGAUUCCUGACAUGGUGUAGUGCAGGCAGGGUGGGGAAAGGACGGGGAAGGACUCGUGUGCUGCGAGCUGGCGGCCGGGCCGGAGUGCUGGGGCUUUGAACUCCGAGAGGAGGUGGACCAGAACUUUUGGAACUAGUGCCGGCGGCUCUCCACCCCCCAGAUAAAAGAACGUGUGGAUACUUUGCUAAGUACAUCCAAGAUUUGAAGAACUGAAAUAAAUCAGCAUUAAACCUGCUUUUUAAAAAUUGUUCUUCCUCCUUGCUUUGGCCUCUCAACUUGCUUGGAAGCUUUUCAACAAAUCUGCACUUGGAUGAUGGCUUUGUUCAACAAAUAAACAUUAUCUCAACCUUGGGGAAGAGUUAAGAAGACACAGGAUGGAACACUGUUAGAUGCUUCUGGUUCUAAGCAUGGAAUUCCUGGAACAGGGAAGCUAGCUUCCAAUACAUGGAAGUCCGGAAGUUGUUUUCCUGCUCGAGGAGGUCACAUUUCUACCAAGAGAAAUGUGAAU
rnacentral:lncRNA from 1 species